GUUCUGGGUACUCCCCUCCCAGAGUGCCUUGCGGUUGUCGGAUGAGCGGGAAUUCUGCUUUCUGUUCCUGUGGAAUCAAGUGUAUGACUGGGGCUGCUGUGUGUUGUGAGGAACUGCACCCCCCCCGCCGUAAUUAGCACACGGCAACCCAAAUCUCAUUUAUUCUCGUUGUUACGGAAAUCUAUAAGUAAGCUGUGAUGGGCUGUAUGGCCCAAUUGCAAGAACAUUUUAUGUAACUUAGAAAUAUAUGUAGUAAGUGUCUGAUGGUGUGGCUGAGGUGCAGUUUGCACAUUUGGUUUACAAGAAUAUAGUGACAUUGCUUAUCAGUCAGGGCUGCCCAUUAGCCUUUUGGGUUUAUUCAGCUAGGGCUAUAUAAAUCCCACACAUGGGCCUAGCAUAGAAUUUAAUUCCAACAUUUUGGUUGGCCAGUUAUAGUGACAGUUCAUCAGUAUUAUAGCUGGGGCGGUUAGCUACCCCUGAUACAGGAUACAAAUAAUUGUUAGCUUGCUUUGUACACCAAACAAAUAAUUUGCUCUAUAAAGUAUAUUAUAUGUUCUAUAAGUUAGACAUCAGAGGAUAAAUGACACAUGCUGCGCCUGCAAGCUGAUGUAAAAGAGCAAUAAUGUAGAAUGUAUUGAAAGGACAAUUGAGAGACAUUGGAAGGAGUGAAAAGAAAAUCCCACAAGACUGUCGCCUCCUCUUCUCCUGCCUGCCACAUGUGACUGCUGGACCCCCCCUGCUGCCUUCCUGCCAGAUUAGGUUGCCCUGAUCGCCUGCAUGCCUUGGAUCCCUGAGCAAUGUGAGCUUAUCUCUAAUACUGGAUCAAACAACAGCCCAGCUCUCCCCAGUUACAAAAUGCCGAACCCUGGAGUUAAAACUGGCCGUUGCUCCUUUAAUAAAUUCUAGUACUGUCUACCAAGGAGAACCGAUAGCAAAGAAACAAAGAAUCAGUUCCCUUACCGCAGAUGCUGUUUUAGAGGAUUCUUCAGGAAGGCAGAGCUGUUCCCCAUAUGAAAAUGAUUUGGGAAACACAGUGACUGCUGUCACAGAACUAUCCCCGCUUAUUAACACAUAUUGUGUGUCGCUGCUCCACGCCAGGAGGAGAAAUCAACCUGACAGCUUAGUUAAAAGCGAGAUGUUGACGGUACUAUGCGGGAGAAUUUCUUUAAGCAUCGAAGACAUUUUAAAAGGGAAGCACACAGUAAAUAUAUUUGAACACUGUCAAGGUUGUAUAGAAGACCUUUUGGCUGUUUUAUCCACAUAUUUAAAAUGUUCCCUCCAUAUCUCCUCGCCUGACUGUACACUGACUUCAGUGAAAUUGUGGAUGAUUGGUCAAAUGCAGGGGGAACCUGUGCGACACAUCCCAGAAAUCAUUUGCAGCCAUAUACCUGGAAGUCUUGACGGCACUCUUUUCAUCUGGGAUCCACAGAGCCCUUGUGAAGGGAAACUUACCAUCUUUGCAAGAUUUUUCAGAUGCAGUUGUUAGCAGAUGCUGUUGUCCAUGAAGAAGAGAAAAUAGAGGGCUGCCAUCGGGACCACGAUGUUAUGUGGGGGGCCCAAGGAUGUUAAAUAGGCCCCCUUUGCCCCAAACCCUCCCCCGACGGCUGCCUGCUUCUGUUCUCUUAGCGCUUCAUUCCUAAGGAGAGAUUGUUCAGCGUUAUUCAUGGAGUAGAUUCUCGUAUCACAGAAACCACAUUACAGCUCUGCAU